GAUGAACGCUGGCGGCGUGCCUAAUACAUGCAAGUCGAGCGAACGGACGAGAAGCUUGCUUUUCUGAUGUUAGCGGCGGACGGGUGAGUAACACGUGGAUAACCUACCUAUAAGACUGGGAUAACUUCGGGAAACCGGAGCUAAUACCGGAUAAUAUUUUGAACCGCAUGGUUCAAAAGUGAAAGACGGUCUUGCUGUCACUUAUAGAUGGAUCCGCGCUGCAUUAGCUAGUUGGUAAGGUAACGGCUUACCAAGGCAACGAUGCAUAGCCGACCUGAGAGGGUGAUCGGCCACACUGGAACUGAGACACGGUCCAGACUCCUACGGGAGGCAGCAGUAGGGAAUCUUCCGCAAUGGGCGAAAGCCUGACGGAGCAACGCCGCGUGAGUGAUGAAGGUCUUCGGAUCGUAAAACUCUGUUAUUAGGGAAGAACAUAUGUGUAAGUAACUGUGCACAUCUUGACGGUACCUAAGCAGAAAGCCACGGCUAACUACGU
rnacentral:rRNA from 1 species